rnacentral:rRNA from 1 species
UACGGAGGGGGCUAGCGUUGUUCGGAAUUACUGGGCGUAAAGCGCGCGUAGGCGGCUUUGUACGUUAGAGGUGAAAGCCCGGAGCUCAACUCCGGAAUUGCCUUUAAGACUGCAUCGCUUGAAUCAUGGAGAGGUGAGUGGAAUUCCGAGUGUAGAGGUGAAAUUCGUAGAUAUUCGGAAGAACACCAGUGGCGAAGGCGACUCACUGGACAUGUAUUGACGCUGAGGUGCGAAAGCGUGGGGAGCAAAGAGG